AUGGCUAGGCAUGUUUUUAACCGUAUUCGAGAGGGGGUAGUUGGAUACGAUGAUUAUUUCGAGUGCAAGGAGGAUGCCCUUCGAAAGAUUGACUUCUCAUCUUAUCAGAAAUGUACUACAGCUAUCCGGAUGCUUCCAUAUAGAGUGCCCGGUGAUCUUAGUGAUGAAUACGUCCGUAUGAGCGAGUCUACAUGCCUAGAGUCACGGUACAGGUUCUGCAAGGCUGUGAUUGCAUUAUUUGGCCCUGGGUACUUGACGGAGCCCAAUGCUCAAGCUACAGCCCGCUUGUUGGCAAGCCUGCGGAAAAGCACCAAUCAGUGCUUGACACCCCCUGCAGGGGCUUCUCAGGGAUGCUUGGCAACAUAG
rnacentral:rRNA from 1 species